rnacentral:rRNA from 1 species
AUUGAACGCUGGCGGCAGGCCUAACACAUGCAAGUCGAGCGAGCGGCGGACGGGGGAGUAAUGUCUGGGAAACUGCCUGAUGGAGAGGGAUAACUACUGGAAAAGGUAGCUAAAACCGCACACCAUCAGAUGUGACCAGAGGGGAUUAGCUAGUGGGUGGGGGAACGGCUCACCAAGGCGACGAUCCCUAGCUGGUCUGCGAGGAUGACCAGCCACACUGGGACUGAGACACGGCCCAGACUCCUACGGGAGGCAGCAGUGGGGAAUAUUGGACAAUGGGCGCAAGCCUGAUGCAGCCAUGCCGCGUGUGUGAAGAAGGCCUUAGGGUUGUAAAGCACUUUCAGCGGGGAGGCGUUACCCGCAGAAGAAGCACCGGCUAACUCCGUGCCAGCAGCCGCGGUAAUAC